rnacentral:lncRNA from 1 species
AUGUCGGGCAAAAUUGCGUGGAGUGAAUGACCUGCCACCGGAAUUCGCGCGUUUCACACCUUUGUAUUUCCUUCGAAGGUUCCCUCGCUCGAAGGUACCUUCGAAGGUAACGGGUAUUUUAUUUGGGACGAGUCAGUUCACUGCUGACAAAGUCAUAUCUAGCAACAUUACCUACCUGGUUUUUUUCGAGCAAUAACGAAGCGUAUUACUCGAAGGUACGUACGUAAAUCGUACGUACAUACGAAGCUUGCUUAUUAUUACCUUCAUUUAUUUAACACUUAUUUGUAUAUUCCAUACGAAGGUACCAAGUUACAGUACCAAGGAAGCAAGGUUUCCUGUACCUUGGGAAAAUUUAUUCUUCUUUUGAUCGGUAUAGAAUAGCCCGAUCGUUUAAGAAAAGUCGACGAUUAAUAACUAACUCACUGUACGGUCGUCGUUAGUUGGUUACUCUAUUUCUUUUUAACAAAACAACUUCGUGUGACGCCUUCCCGCUCUUUGGACGACAACUUUUCAGCGGGACGUCCGUGUCUUUGCGCUCGAUGUGUGCGUAUACGUCGUCCUAACAUGCACACCACGUGUGAGCGACGAAAAAACGCGUCUUCUGAAGUGGCGGUAGUAGCCGUCGAAGUUGACCGAUGUGUCGAUGAAAAUUCAGCUUCAAACCUUAGCCCUUCUUUCACCGAAGCUCCAUCGAUCAAAUACACCAGUCGCCAGUGUAUUUUCCCCGUUUGUUAUAAAUUUAUGCCCCGGAGGACGCGUUCGAUCACAUCGAGGACGCCGAGGGUGGAAGCGCCGGGGAGGGUCGAUCGCCUGCAACCGCCUGUCAGGGUGGUCGGGUUAGGCUACUCGUCCCAAACCAGCCGACCGCGAACCCAAAAAAAUAACAUGCAUACAGUAGACUAAAAUCACAGUAGACUUGUACGAAGGUAUAUUAUAUAUUACAGUAGACUUGUAUUAUUGUACCUUCGUACGAAGGUAAUAUAAAUAAGUUUCGUAAAA